AUUACUUUGGCAGAUUAGUGCAAUAAAUUUAGAAUUUAUUAAUGUGCUUUGGCACAGGUAAUA
rnacentral:tRNA from 1 species